rnacentral:sRNA from 1 species
CAGGGUUUCAUAUGGACCCCCAAUAUAGAAGUCAGAUAAGGGACUGAACCAGGGACUGGGGGCCCAGGGCCCUAGGGCUCAGCCUCCUCCUCAGCCCACGAAGCCAUGUGACUGCUGGGCUGGGGAUCGAAGGCAGAGCCUGGUUCUGAAGUCCUAGAGCUGGAAGCUGGCUGAGAAGGUGUGGGAAGCCCAGCUCCCUGGAUUCCCCUCGCCCCCUCAGUGCUCCGUGCGGUGCGGCCGGGGCCAGAGAAGCCGGCAGGUUCGCUGUGUUGGGAACAAUGGUGAUGAAGUGAGUGAGCAGGAGUGCGCGUCAGGCCCCCCGCAGCCCCCCAGCAGAGAGGCCUGUGACAUGGGGCCCUGUACUACCGCCUGGUUCCACAGCGACUGGAGCUCCAAGUGCUCAGCCGAGUGUGGGACGGGAAUCCAGCGGCGCUCUGUUGUCUGCCUUGGGAGUGGGGCAGCCCUCAGGCCGGGCCAGGGGGAAGCAGGAGCAGGAACUGGGCAGAGCUGUCCAACAGGAAGCCGGCCCCCUGACAUGCGCGCCUGCAGCCUGGGGCCCUGUGAGAGGAUUUGGCGCUGGUACACAGGGCCCUGGGGUGAGUGCUCCUCCGAAUGUGGCUCCGGCACACAGCGUAGAGACAUCAUCUGUGUAUCCAAACUGGGGACGGAGUUCAACGUGACUUCUCCGAGCAACUGUUCUCACCUCCCCAGGCCCCCUGCCCUGCAGCCCUGUCAAGGGCAGACCUGCCAGGACCGAUGGUUUUCCACGCCCUGGAGCCCGUGUUCUCGCUCCUGCCAAGGGGGAACGCAGACAAGGGAGGUCCAGUGCCUGAGCGCCAACCAGACCCUCAGCACCCGAUGCCCUCCUCAACUGCGGCCCUCCAGGAAGCGCCCCUGUAACAGCCAACCCUGCAGCCAGCGCCCUGAUGAUCAAUGCAAGGACAGCUCUCCACAUUGCCCCCUGGUGGUACAGGCCCGGCUCUGCGUCUACCCCUACUACACAGUCACCUGUUGCCGCUCUUGCGCACAUGUCCUGGAGCGGUCUCCCCAGGAUCCCUCCUGAAAGGGGUCCGGGGCACCCUCACGGUUUUCUGUGCCACCAUCGGUCACCCAUUGAUCGGCCCACUCAGAACCCCCUGGCUCUCCAGCCUGUCCCAGUCUCAGCAGGGAUGUCCUCCAGGUGACAGAGGGUGGCAAGGUGACUGACAGAAAGUGACUUUCAGGUCUGUGGUCAGGCCCAUGUGGUGAUGUGAUGGGUGUGUACACAUAUGCCUCAGGUGUGCUUUUGGGACUGCAUGGAUAUGUGUGUGCUCAAACGUGUAUCACUUUUCAAAAAGAAGUUACACAGACUGAGAAGGACAAGACCUGUUUCCCUGAGACUUUCCUAGGUGGAGAGGAAAACAAGUCCGCAGUUCCUUGCUAAUCUGAGCUACUUAGAGUGUGGUCUCCUCACCACCAACUCCAGUUUUGUGCCCUAAGCCUCCUUUCUCAUGUUCAGACCUCACAUCUUCUAAGCCGCCCUGUGUCUCUGACCCCUUCUCAUUUGCCUAGUAUCUCUGCCCCUGCCUCCCUAAUUAGCUAGGGCUGGGGUCAGCCACUGCCAAUCCUGCCUUACCCAGGAAGGCAGGAGGAAAGAGACUCCCUCUCCAGAGCAAGGCCCAGCUGGGCAGAGGGUGAAAAAGAGAAAUGUGAGCAUGCGCCCCCCCUCCUGCCCCGCCCACCCAGCCCGUAGCCCCACUCCCUGCCUCCUGAAAUGGUUCCCUCCCAGAACUAAUUUAUUUUUUAUUAAAGAUGGUCAUGACAAAUGAGAAA